rnacentral:rRNA from 1 species
CCUACGGUGAGCAGCAGUGAGGAAUAUUGGUCAAUGGACGCAAGUCUGAACCAGCCAUGCCGCGUGCAGGAAGACGGCUCUAUGAGUUGUAAACUGCUUUUGUACGAGGGUAAACGCAGAUACGCGUAUCUGUCUGAAAGUAUCGUACGAAUAAGGAUCGGCUAACACCGUGCCAGCAGCCGCGGUAAUACGGAGGAUUCAAGCGUUAUCCGGAUUUAUUGGGUUUAAGGGGUGCGUAGGCGGUCGGAUAAGUUAGAGGUGAAAUCCCGAGGCUCAACUUCGGAAUUGCCUCUGAUACUGUUCGGCUAGAGAGUAGUUGCGGUAGGCGGAAUGUAUGGUGUAGCGGUGAAAUGCUUAGAGAUCAUACAGAACACCGAUUGCGAAGGCAGCUUACCAAGCUACUUCUGACGUUGAGGCACGAAAGCGUGGGGAGCAAACAGGAUUAGAUACCCGGGUAGUC